rnacentral:pre_miRNA from 1 species
GUCAAGAAGAGGAAGAAAAGAUAGCAUGAGAGCAGUGGGAAUGGGAACAUGAAGGAAAGCCUAACUUGCUUUUUUUCACCUCUAAUGUUGGAGGUGAGAAUUUAGUUUGGUAUUUCCAGAUGUCUCCUAUUCCUAUUGUUCUCAAGCACUCCUUCCUUUUCUUUUUGGUU